rnacentral:rRNA from 1 species
GACGAACGCUGGCGGCGUGCUUAACACAUGCAAGUCGAACGGAAAGGCCCUGCUUUUGUGGGGUGCUCGAGUGGCGAACGGGUGAGUAAAACGCGAGUAACCUGUGCUUGACUUUGGGAUAACUUUAGGAAACUGGGGAUAAUACCGGAUAGGAGCUCCUGCUGCAUGGUGGGGGUUGGAAAGUUUCGGCGGUUGGGGAUGGCCUGGCGGCUCAUCAGCUUGUUGGUGGGGUAGUGGCUUACCAAUGCUUUGAGGGGUAGCCGGCCUGAGAGGGUGACCGGCCACAGUGGGACUCGGAUGCGGCCCAGAGGCCUACGGGAGGCAGAAGUGGAGGAUAGUGCACAAUGGGCGGAAGCCGGAUGCAGCAACGCCGCGUGCGGGAGGACGGCCGUCGGGGUGUAAACCGCUUGCGCCUGGGACGAAGCGUGAGUGACGGUAAUGGGUAAAGAAGCACCGGCUAACUACGUG